rnacentral:pre_miRNA from 15 species
GUGUAUCCCCAGCUUUGAGAACUGAAUUCCAUGGGUUUUCUCAAUGUCAGACCUGUGAAAUUCAGUUCUUCAGCUGGGAUAUCUCUG